rnacentral:lncRNA from 1 species
ACAAUGAACAAUUUUUUGGUCUUCCUUCUUGCAGGCAUUGUUAAACCAAAUUGUACUAGGUCCAACUGUAAUUGCUGUUGUUUUUGCAUGGAACAAUUUAUGGCAAGGGAAACUUGCGGAACUUCCAAAUAAAUACAAAAUGGAUGCCCUUCCUUCCCUAUUUUUUGGUGAAGUCCUUGAAUUUUAAUCCCAUUCCGUAUUUACAUUUUACUGAAGUCUAAUUGUUAUUGUUUUUAUUAUUAUGUCUCCAGGGUUUCGAUUCUGGAUUCCUGCUAGCAUAUUGAAACAGUUUGUGAAGGUUCUUAAGAUCUUUACAUGGCGUUUUAGUGCCGUCUGUGGAUCGUCACUUGGAAAAAUACCAGCUCAUUAUUUGACCUCUGCCGCUGCACAGUAGAUUCAAUCUUUUUCAGUUUUUAUUUCUUCCAUUGCGGAGUUGUAUCGUCACUUAAAGCCUGCACUCUUCAAAAUUUCAAACAUAAUUAUUAAUUACUGACAAUUUCAAACAGUGUUUAUAUUUUUGGUGCAAUAUGUAAUUGGCUCUUAAAGAUAGUUGUGUUCAUGUAAGGGUGUAGAAGAGUUUGACGAAGUGUGAUCCCUUUUCUAAUUUGAGGAAGAUGGACGGAUCAU